GCGGCAGGCUUAACACAUGCAAGUCGAACGAGCUGGGAACUUCGGUUCCCGAUGCUAGUGGCGCACGGGUGAGUAACACGUGGGAACGUACCCUUUAGUACGGAAUAACUCAGGGAAACUUGAGCUAAUACCGUAUGACUCCUUCGGGGGAAAGAUUUAUCGCUAAAGGAACGGCCCGCGUCUGAUUAGGUAGUUGGUGAGGUAACGGCUCACCAAGCCGACGAUCAGUAGCUGGUCUGAGAGGAUGAUCAGCCACACUGGGACUGAGACACGGCCCAGACUCCUACGGGAGGCAGCAGUGGGGAAUAUUGGACAAUGGGGGCAGCCCUGAUCCAGCCAUGCCGCGUGAGUGAAGAAGGCCUUCGGGUUGUAAAGCUCUUUCGACGGGGACGAUGAUGACGGUACCCGUAUAAGAAGCCCCGGCAAACUUCGUGCCAGCCGCCGCGGUAAAAC
rnacentral:rRNA from 1 species